AAGGGAGACCUAAUUCAGGUAGGAGACGAAAAAAAAGUAGUCCCUACCAGGAAUCAAUCCCAAAAGGUCGGAGCGAGGCGAAAUUGGCUUUCAAACUAGGUUCUGGGUUCAAACAAGACCUGAAUCAGGAACAAGGGCUAUUAGCUCAGGUGGUUAGAGCGCACCCCUGAUAAGGGUGAGGUCCCUGGUUCGAGUCCAGGAUGGCCCACCUGCACAGGUGGCAAAAACAAGAGAAGCGAGGAAUCAGCACCUUAUCUUACUUAUAUAGUAAGAGAGAAUGCUGGCUCUGAGUUCAGAGUCCAGAGGAACCUUGAAAACUGCAUAGAGCUAGGUGAAAAAGCCAAAAAAGAAGACCGCAA
rnacentral:tRNA from 1 species